rnacentral:rRNA from 1 species
CAGCCGCCGCGGUAAUACGUAGGGUGCGAGCGUUAAUCGGAUUUACUGGGCGUAAAGCGUGCGCAGGCGGCCCGUUAAGACAGGUGUGAAAUCCCUGGGCUCAACCUAGGAAUUGCGCUUGUGACUGGCGGGCUCGAGUACGGUAGAGGGGGGUGGAAUUCCUGGUGUAGCAGUGAAAUGCGUAGAGAUCAGGAGGAACACCGAUGGCGAAGGCAGCCCCCUGGGCCUGUACUGACGCUCAUGCACGAAAGCGUGGGGAGCAAACAGGAUUAGAUACCCGGGUAGUCCACGCCCUAAACGAUGGGUACUAGCCGUUUGGUGCGCGAUAGCGCUGAGUGGCGAAGCUAACGCGAGAAGUACCCCGCCUGGGGAGUACGGCCGCAAGGUUGAAACUUAAAGGAAUUGGCGGG